ACGGAGAGUUUGAUCCUGGCUCAGGACGAACGCUGGCGGCGUGCUUAACACAUGCAAGUCGAACGGAAAGGCCCGCUUGCGGGUACUCGAGUGGCGAACGGGUGAGUAACACGUGGGUGAUCUGCCUUGCACUCUGGGAUAAGCUUGGGAAACUGGGUCUAAUACCGGAUAGGAACCGUCUUUAGUGUGGUGGUUGGAAAGUUUUUUCGGUGCAAGAUGAGCUCGCGGCCUAUCAGCUUGUUGGUGGGGUGAUGGCCUACCAAGCCGACGACGGGUAGCCGGCCUGAGAGGGUGACCGGCCACACUGGGACUGAGACACGGCCCAGACUCCUACGGGAGGCAGCAGUGGGGAAUAUUGCACAAUGGGCGAAAGCCUGAUGCAGCAACGCCGCGUGGGGGAUGACGGCCUUCGGGUUGUAAACUCCUUUCGACAGGGACGAAG
rnacentral:rRNA from 1 species